AUUGAACGCUGGCGGCAGGCCUAACACAUGCAAGUCGAGCGAGCGGCGGAAGGGUGAGUAAUGUAUGGGCAACUGCCUGAUGGAGGGGGAUAACUCCAGGAAACGGUAGCUAAUACAGCAUACAAAACAAUGUGCCCAGAUGGGAUUAGCUAGUGGGUGGGGUAAUGGCUCACCUAGGCAACGAUCCCUAGCUGGUCUGAGAGGAUGACCAGCCACACUGGAACUGAGACACGGUCCAGACUCCUACGGGAGGCAGCAGUGGGGAAUAUUGCACAAUGGGGGGAAGCCGUAUGCAGCCAUGCCGCGUGUUUGAAGAAGGCCUUCGGGUUUUAAAGCACUUUCAGCGGGGAGGCGUUACCCGCAGAAGAAGCACCGGCUAACUCCGUGCCAGCAGCCGCGGUAAUAC
rnacentral:rRNA from 1 species